rnacentral:rRNA from 1 species
UGGGGAAUAUUGGACAAUGGGCGCAAGCCUGAUCCAGCAAUGCCGCGUGAGUGAUGAAGGCCUUAGGGUUGUAAAGCUCUUUCGCACGCGACGAUGAUGACGGUAGCGUGAGAAGAAGCCCCGGCUAACUUCGUGCCAGCAGCCGCGGUAAUACGAAGGGGGCGAGCGUUGUUCGGAAUUACUGGGCGUAAAGGGCGCGCAGGCGGUAGGAGAAGUCAGGCGUGAAAGCCCCGGGCUCAACCUGGGAAUUGCGUUUGAUACUCUCCAACUGGAGUUCGGGAGAGGAGAGUGGAAUUCCCAGUGUAGAGGUGAAAUUCGUAGAUAUUGGGAAGAACACCGGUGGCGAAGGCGGCUCUCUGGACCGAGACUGACGCUGAGGCGCGAAAGCGUGGGGAGCAAACAGGAUUAGAUACCCCCGUAGUCC